AGUGAACGCUGGCGGUAGCCCUAACACAUGCAAGUCGAACGGCAGCACAGUAAGAGCUUGCCCUUACGGGUGGCGAGUGGCGGACGGGUGAGGAAUACAUCGGAAUCUACUUUUUCGUGGGGGAUAACGUAGGGAAACUUACGCUAAUACCGCAUACGACCUACGGGUGAAAGCAGGGGAUCUUCGGACCUUGCGCGAUUGAAUGAGCCGAUGUCGGAUUAGCUAGUUGGCGGGGUAAAGGCCCACCAAGGCGACGAUCCGUAGCUGGUCUGAGAGGAUGAUCAGCCACACUGGAACUGAGACACGGUCCAGACUCCUACGGGAGGCAGCAGUGGGGAAUAUUGGACAAUGGGCGCAAGCCUGAUCCAGCCAUACCGCGUGGGUGAAGAAGGCCUUCGGGUUGUAAAGCCCUUUUGUUGGGAAAGAAAAGCAGCAGGUUAAUACCCCGCUGUUCUGACGGUACCCAAAGAAUAAGCACCGGCUAACUUCGUG
rnacentral:rRNA from 1 species